rnacentral:rRNA from 1 species
AGGAUUAACGCUGGCGGCGUGCCUGACACAUGCAAGUCGAACGAGGCCGCAAGGCCGAGUGGCGGACGGGUGAGUAACACGUGACCAACCAACCUCGAAGUUGGGAAUAGCUCUGCGAAAGUAGGGGUAAUACCGAAUGUGGCCCAGGGCGGGCAUCCGCCUUGGUCUAAAGAUUCAUCGCUUCGAGACGGGGUCGCGGCCUAUUAGCUUGUUGGUGAGGUAACGGCUCACCAAGGCGAUGAUGGGUAGCUGGUCUGAGAGGACGACCAGCCACACUGGGACUGAGACACGGCCCAGACUCCUACGGGAGGCAGCAGUGGGGAAUCUUCCGCAAUGGGCGAAAGCCUGACGGAGCAACGCCGCGUGUGGGAUGAAGACUCUAGGGUUGUAAACCACUGUCGGAGGGGACGAUCGUGACGGUACCCUCCAAGAAAGCCCCGGCUAACUACGCGCCAGCAGCCGC